rnacentral:lncRNA from 1 species
GGAAGCUGUUGUUUGUCUAAGGAUUGCAAAAGGCAUGCGACAACAGAAUUCUCAGCAGCCAGUCUGAAGGAUGGAGGGAUCUAUACAUUAGCCAGAAGGAAACUGAGAAAAUAAGGAAUAGGAUUCAUGUCAUUCUGAUUGACUGAACAGACUUCAGCUCCAAACUGCAGACACUUAAAAUUAGGUGUCUACACUACAGG